ensembl:lincRNA
GGUGAAUCGGCCUGGAAGCUGUUCAUUCUCUCCCAAGCCUGAAACAGCGGAUAAACGACCCCACCUCAUGCUGGGAAGGGAGAGCUUGGGAUCCCUGGCACGUGAGAAAGAGAGCCUGGCAUAGAUCAGAGCUCUCCAUCCAGAGUGUCAUGACUUAGCUGCGUGCUUUCACCAGCAGGGAGGAGGGAACUGAUACUGGAGAAAUAUACUUUCCUCCUCCAUCAUGGUGAUUCAUAACCUUCUAAAACCUUAUGAUUCUGAAAACCCACACAAACACAUUGGGACCUCUCCCAGCCCUUGACUCACUGUCGGCAUUCUCAAGAUGACCACAAUGAGCAGCAUUGAAGAGCCAGCGUUCAAAUGCUUCUCCCACAUGGGAGUCAGUAUUCUGCAGAGAUGGAUGAUUCUCAGAUUACCACUUAGCUUCCUGAAGCCAGCAACCUAUGUCAAAGCAGCAGUAGGACAAAGAACAUGGCUGCCGCUUCAAAUCUUAUGUGAAUUCACCUCAUCACUGGAACCAAAUUUAUAUCUAAUAAAAAGCUGUUACUCCGGAAAAAAUGCCACUCUCCUCCCCACUCAGCUCCAAACACAGUGUGAUUGUAAUGAACACCUAUCCUGAUGAGGAAUGCAGGCUGCAUCUUGGAGAAAAUUCAAAUAGAGGUCCAUUUGAAAAUGGAAGAUAUGUAGUUACCAAGGAAACUCGCUGUGAGUCAACAAACUGGCUUAACUUCGAGCUUUGUGAGUUUGUUCCAUACAAAAUUAACUUGCUAUUCAUUUUUACCUACUCUCCUAAAAUGCUAGGAAUCAAAAUAAAAUUAUAAAUAUUAUUAGCCAUGCAAUUAAAAGAGUAGUUUAUUUUGUUAUUUCUUGUCAUUGAUUUUGAAGAAAAUAUGUAUUCUUUUUCAGCCUUUAUGGAUGCUCUCAGCCAUACACAUGCAUAUGCCUCCAUGGUUAUGCAAUGGAAAAGGAAGAAUGUCAGGAAAAAUGCAGAGGACAGAUUAGGUAGGUGAAUCUGCCAUGAGGGGUUAAGAGACCAUGUAAGGAGGGUCAAAGGUUCAUUUCUUUGAAAACACAUCACAGAAGCAAGAUCUGAAUGGAAAUCUUACCUUCAGAAGGAGGUGGGAGGAAAAUGAGAAAAGUCUGGGGAUGAAAAGAAGCACAGGGCUGCCUUUUUUUUUUUUAGACGGAGUCUCACUCUGUUGCCAGGCUGGGGUGCAGUGGUAUGAUCUCGGCUCACUGCAACCUCCGCCUCCCAGGUUCAAGCGAUUCUCCUGCCUCAGCCUCCUGAGUAGCUGGGACUGCAGGCACCCACCACCACGCCUGGCUAAUUUUUGUACUUUUAGUAGAGAUGGGGUUUCACCAUGUUGUCCAGGCUGGUCUCGAAGUCCUGACCUCAGGUGAUCCGUCUGCUCGACCUCCCAAAAUGCUGGGAUUACAGGCGUGAGCCACCACGCCCAGCCUAGGGCUGCCAUUUUUAAGUAAGAUGCGUUAUGGUCCAAAUACAAAUAGACAGAAGGAAGGUGGAAAAGAGGCCGGGUGAGGAGGCAGAGCAUGCCUUACCUCUUCAGAUCUGUGAACAUUUGGAGGUUUUAUUCCAAGAACAAUCAGAAGUACCUAAUGACUUCUGGCCAGGGAGAUUG